UAGGGAAUCUUCCACAAUGGACGCAAGUCUGAUGGAGCAACGCCGCGUGAGUGAAGAAGGUUUUCGGAUCGUAAAGCUCUGUUGUUGGUGAAGAAGGAUAGAGGCAGUAACUGGUCUUUAUUUGACGGUAAUCAACCAGAAAGUCACGGCUAACUACGUGCCAGCAGCCGCGGUAAUACGUAGGUGGCAAGCGUUGUCCGGAUUUAUUGGGCGUAAAGCGAGCGCAGGCGGAAUGAUAAGUCUGAUGUGAAAGCCCACGGCUCAACCGUGGAACUGCUUCGGAAACUGUCAUUCUUGAGCGCAGAAGAGGAGAGUGGAAUUCCAUGUGUAGCGGUGGAAUGCGUAGAUAUAUGGAAGAACACCAGUGGCGAAGGCGGCUCUCUGGUCUGCAACUGACGCUGAGGCUCGAAAGCAUGGGUAGCGAACAGG
rnacentral:rRNA from 1 species